UUACCCUACGGGAGGCAGCAGUGAGGAAUAUUGGUCAAUGGGCGAGAGCCUGAACCAGCCAAGUCGCGUGAGGGAAGACGGUCCUAUGGAUUGUAAACCUCUUUUGCCGGGGAGCAAAAAGCGGUACGUGUACCGCAUCGAGAGUACCCGGAGAAAAAGCAUCGGCUAACUCCGUGCCAGCAGCCGCGGUAAUACGGAGGAUGCGAGCGUUAUCCGGAUUUAUUGGGUUUAAAGGGUGCGUAGGCGGGAUGCCAAGUCAGCGGUAAAAAUGCGGUGCUCAACGCCGUCGAGCCGUUGAAACUGAC
rnacentral:rRNA from 1 species